rnacentral:antisense_RNA from 1 species
CUUUGAAUUCCUGGGCUUGAGCGACCUCCCCACCUUAGCCUCCUGAGUAGCUGAGACUACAGAUGUGCCUUGCUUCUCCUUCAUUUUCUGCUAUGACUGUAAGUUCCCUGAGGCCUUCCCAGCCAUGUGGAACUGCAUUCUAAUAUAUGCAUUCUUCAUGACAACUCUGUGAAACAUAUUAAUAUCCUCAUUGUUAAAGAUGAAGAAACUAAAUCUCAGGAAGAAAAACUAAGUGAAGACAAAAGAAGGAUUUGAACUGAGGUUUGUCAGACUCUCGGGACCAUGCUGUUGAAACCACUAAACCACACUGCCUCUGGGUCACUUGAUUAUUCUGGGAGAUUCUGGGAGUCUUUUCUCCAACACUCCAAUGACAUCUGACUAUGUGAGCUGAUAAGAUCUAUAGAUCUUUGCUGAACCUGAUUCUGGAAGGUACAACAAUUUCGGCCAUCUUCAUAAUCAAUACUGUGAGAUGGGACCAAAUUGAUUGUGUGGUACAUGAAACACAGCCCAGGAAAA